UCCCUGGGGGUCCAGUGGUUAAGACUCUGCACUACCAAUUCAGGGGGCGCAGGUUCCAUCCCUGUUCAAGGAA
rfam:TPA: Bos taurus chromosome 13, whole genome shotgun sequence.